rnacentral:SRP_RNA from 2 species
GCUGGGUAUGGUGGUGCACACCUGUAAUCCCAGCUACUCGGGAGGCUGUGGCAGGAGAAUCGCCUGAACCCAGGAGGCAGGGGUUGCAGUGAGUGGAGGCUGCACCACUGCAUUCCAGCCUGGGUGAUAGAGUGAGACUCUGUCUCAA